CUGGUUAUGUUUUCUUUUUUCUUUAGCCAAAUUUCAUGUUCUUAUGUGCUUUUUUUUAACUGAGUUUAUAGUUUUUGAGAACACCAGCACACUUUAUGGUGACUGGUGAUUUUUAUUUAAACUGAUUCUACAUGUUUCCUUGAAAUAUUCUUAUAUGUCAAUUUAGCUUGGAAAUAUGAUCCAUUUCUUGAAUUUAUUGUAGCUAAUAACACUCUGGACUCUUACUAUUGUAAUGGUGUUAAUUCUUCCCAGUCUCUGUUUUGCUGGUCUGGCUUGCAAAAGAGUUUAAAAAGGCCAGGAACCUAAGACCACCGGCAUUGCAGGGAAAUAACAUCUGAAAAGUUCCCAAUCCUACAGUCUGCCCUCCUGCUGCUGAAGAGCAAUAACAGACUUGAUUUGGGUUUAUUUGUGGAUGCCUAUUUUAUAAAAAACAACAAAUCAAAGAAAUAAAUCAGUGCAGAUCUUAUGGGUCAUUUUAUCUGCUUUGUUUUGUUGGUUGCUGUAGCAUGACUGAUAGAGAAUGAAGGACACUUGCUACUGGGAACACGUGUAAUGUUAUUUUGUUUAUUGUGGUACAUUUCUGUCAUUUUUCUUAUAUACUCAACACUUUCUCCCACCUUAUUUUACUUCUUUCCUCCCAAAUCUGCUGAUUUUAUAGUCAUCAGUUCUUCUUAGUUGGUGGGUGGUUUGUUUUUUUUGGUUUUUUUUCCACCUUGGGUCAAUCUUGCAGUUCUUAUUGAGUCCUUACUUUGGGAAGAAAGCCUUCAUGAUUUCAAUAGGUGGUCUCUUGGAAUCACCUCUUGGGUUUUGCCAUAUUGAGUGCAUGAUGUCUUUUAGAGAACUGAAACUGAAAUCACUGUGCUUCUUUGUCCAGGUACAAUGUGAAAUUGUACAUCAAAAUCUUUAUCAUCAAUCAGGAUGUCCAGAACCACUCUUUGAGUUUGCCGUUACUGAAGUCUCAUUGAACUACGUGCAUGAUGAGAAGACAGGUAAAGGGAGACUGCAAAAUCCAUGCCCUCCUUUCAGAAGCCAAAGAAGGAGGCAUAGCAAGGUGUGUUGUUCAUUAGUUCUUCUUGGCAUCUGCUGUUGUCACUUCUUGGGAUAAAAAUCUAUGAAGAAAAAUACCUCCCUACUUGAUAAUUUUUCCAGUAAGUGCUCAUUUUCUCCCUUUGCUAAUUUCUGUUUAUUUAAGGAAUUACCAAGGUGUUGUAAAGGAUAACUCCUAGCUGGCAGUCUGGGGCUGUACAGCAUGACAUGACGACAUCGUCCACUCUGAGGUACAAACAGUGUAGACUUUACUGCUGGCACUGUGCUAGCUGGGAGGGCCUUGCUUCUCCUAGUGGGAGCAUGAGCAAGGCAAAUGGAAGAGGACAGGUGCUGAGCACAGCAGUUCUG
rnacentral:lncRNA from 1 species